UCAAGCCCCCUUGUAAUUAGUGCUCACAUUAAUAUAGAUGAAAAAAAUAUUAUACAAAAUCUCUAUAUCUAAAUGUUAAUUCUGCUUUUCUCCAUUGUUCAAUUGUACAGCGUAUAAUAAGAUGAGUUUUGCUAAGGCCUGUAUUCAGGUGACGAAUGGCAUUGUCCGGUACUAACAACAUUAAGGCAAGUACUAAACAUCAAAUGCAAAAAAUCUAAUGUAAUAUCACCUUUCUGCUGCUUCUUCCACAAACAAUUGGCUUUUGAGUUAGUGACAUGAGGACGUAGCCAACCAAGGCAACAAGGAUGCCAAUCCUCAAACUUGGUGACUUAAGCUGUAGAUGCCUUUCUAGAGUAAACAACAUACAUGGGGUCUGAGCGUCCAGGAUUGGGAGAUAUGUCCACAGCCUGCAGAUCCAAAUUAGUAGACAAGUCUCUCAUUACUGGAUGAAUGGAUUAAGAAUGGUUAAACUGAUAAAGGAUGAUAAAGGCGCCUGACAAGAUUUUUAUUUGUUUUCAAAGAUAUUGUACUCAAACCACUUUGACCAUUCCGACAAAGAUCAAUCAAGGCUAGAUUUAGUGGACAGAGUAAACAGCAAAUAAUAAUCUAAAGGUCUGUGCAGCUGCCAAUGCCACCAUGAAGGCCUAGAUGUUUAUGCUUAUGAGCAGGGCAUGGUCAAGGUGCUAUUGUAGAAAAUGAAAAUAAGCAACAGCUACUUGAUUUUACUAAGACAAUGAACUUAAGAUAUCAGUUACCUGAGGAGGUUCAUAUCCUCCAGCAUAAUGGAAGUACGCUCCAACUAUCAUAACAUGGUCAGCAUCACCCGUUGACGUCCAUAUAGAGAUUGCUUUUGUCCAAAAGCAACGAUUGGAGAAGCUGCGAUAUAAACACAUUCCACAGAGAAAAAAUGUUGAAUCUAGAAAUGGAAUAUUCUCUCUUAAAAAAAAAAAAAAGAGACAAAGAUUGAGAUGAAGUAAUUUCAGAGAAAUUUUAAAUCAAGAAAAUUAUUAUUUUCAUACUGAUAAUCAGGGCAAUACAUGUUUGAGGUUGUAAAAUUACUUGGAAAUAUUGAUGAAAAUUCUUUGCAAAAUGAACUUAAUGAAAAUAGUUAACUUUCUUCAAUCAAUAAAAUUGCUUGGCUAAAAGUCAAGUCCCCAAAAUAUUAUUCAUUUACACUAUUAAAAUUCUAAUUGUAUACAUGUCUACCAAUAUUUUACAUAUUUACAUUAUUGAAGUUCUAAAUCUAUAUAGAAUUUAUAAAUAAAAUAUCAUGUAUAUAUUCAUCCUUAAAAAAAAAAAGAGAAUCAUGUCUAACAUUUAAGUUUUGAUGACGAUAAUCUACAAAUUGAUUUAUAAUAAAAAAAUAUAAUCGUGUAAUUAAUUGGAUAAAUAGGUCAAAAACUUUAAUACUAAUCCAACAUGGAAAAAAAAAUAUCGACCCUAAUCAUGACAAAUUUGACGAUCUAUAUUCAUUUAUUCGUGUUGUGUUUAUGUUGAAUAAUCAGGUCGUGUUAAAUGUUGACAACUCUGCUCUCAAGCCCCCUUGUAAUUAGUGCUCACAUUAAUAUAGAUGAAAAAAAUAUUAUACAAAAUCUCUAUAUCUAAAUGUUAAUUCUGCUUUUCUCCAUUGUUCAAUUGUACAGCGUAUAAUAAGAUGAGUUUUGCUAAGGCCUGUAUUCAGGUGACGAAUGGCAUUGUCCGGUACUAACAACAUUAAGGCAAGUACUAAACAUCAAAUGCAAAAAAUCUAAUGUAAUAUCACCUUUCUGCUGCUUCUUCCACAAACAAUUGGCUUUUGAGUUAGUGACAUGAGGACGUAGCCAACCAAGG
rnacentral:lncRNA from 1 species